GAUGAAGAACGUAGCGAAAUGCGAUAAGUAAUGUGAAUUGCAGAAUUCAGUGAAUCAUCGAAUCUUUGAACGCACAUUGCGCCCUCUGGCAUUCCGGAGGGCAUGCCUGUUCGAGCGUCAUUUCAACCAUCAAGCCCCCGGCUUGUGUUGGGGACCUGCGGCUGCCGCAGGCCCUGAAAACCAGUGGCGGGCUCGCUAGUCACUCCGAGCGUAGUAAUACAUCUCGCUCAGGGCGUGCUGCGGGUUCCGGCCGUUAAAAAGCCUUAUUUACCCAAGGUUGACCUCGGAUCAGGUAGGAAGACCCGCUGAACUUAAGCAUAUCAAUAAGCGGAGGA
rnacentral:misc_RNA from 1 species